rnacentral:rRNA from 1 species
CCUACGGGUGGCAGCAGUGAGGAAUAUUGGUCAAUGGACGGAAGCCUGAACCAGCCAUGCCGCGUGCAGGAAGACGGCGCUAUGAGUUGUAAACCUCUUUUGUACAAGGGGAAACCUGAGUUCGUGUACUCAGAUGAAAGUACUUUACGAAUAAGGAUCGGCUAACUCCGUGCCAUCAGCCGCGGUAAUUCGGCGGAUCCAAGCGUUAUCCGGAUUUCUUGGGGUUAAAGGGUGCGGAGGCGGCGUGAUAAGUUCGCGGUUAAAUGUCCGAGGAUAAAUCGUGAACAGCCUCUGAUACCGGUGAUCUAGAGAGUAGGUGAAGUAGGCGGAAUGUGUGGUGUAGCGGUGAAAUGCUUAGAUAUCACGGAGAACCCCGAUUGCGAAGGCAGCUUACCAGUCUAUAACUGACGUUGAGGCACGAAAGCGUGGGGAGCGAACAGGAUUAGAUACCCCAGUAGUC